UUUGAGAAUAUUAAAAAAACAAAAAAAGGGUUGACCCAAUGCAAAAAGCAUGGCUCUAGGUAGGUUUACACCGCUUCACAGAGACUCUAGGUCACAAAUGGAGUAAUUUUUUGGUUACACCAAAGCCACCCCCUAUCCUAUCCCAGAAUAUGAAUUCAAAAAGAAGAAUAAAGAAAAAUAUAUUCUAGAGAUGCACCCUUUUGAGUACCGCUGAAUCUUGAGCACUACAAAUAAUGCCAUAUGGCUGCCUAACUUUACUCAACACAGUACAAGGGAUAGCUAUCCUGUGAACAAAAUAUUAGACGGAGUAGAAAUGUAUCUAGGAAGUAGGAAAUACAUGAAAAGGUUUAUGAAAACACCAUAGCCAGACCGCUUCCGAUCCAGUUAACUUACUCAAAAGAGGGAGCAACAAGAAAGGAAGCCAUUUCAUGCUAUCAAAAAUCAAAAUCAUUCAUCGACAUUGUAUAUUAGAUAGACAGCAUAG
rnacentral:misc_RNA from 1 species